AAUGGCCUAACGGCUGAACCAGCAAUUUGGAAGAACGUAUAGUGUAAGCUAGUUGUAUUUAUGUUUAUUAACAAUACAAUAUUUGCGUAAAAUAAAGUUCUAAAUAGAAUACUGAUAAUGACAAUUUUCUAUUUAUAAGUCUUGACUAAAUCAUGUGCCAGCAGUCGCGGCAAUACAUGGAAGACUAGUGUUAUUCAUCUUUAAUAGGUUUAAAGGGUACUUAGACGGUUAAUGACACUUAAGUUAAUAUAAAAGUAUAGUUAACUAGAGUUUGAUAUAAGGAGCGCGUAGUACUAGGAGAGUAGAGAUGAAAUUCGUUGAGUCCCUAAAGACUAUUCAAGGCAAAAGCAACCUCUUAUCUAUAAACUGACGUUGAGGGACGAAGGCCUGGGUCGCGAACAGGAUUAGAUACCCCAGUAGUCAUGGCAGACAAUGAUGAAUGUUAUAUGUAAGUAAAUAUUAUUUAUGUAUAAACGAAAGUGUAAACAUUUCACCUCAAGAGUAAUGUGGCAACGCAUAAACUGAAAUCACUAGACCGUUUCUGAAACCAGUAGUGAAGUAUGUUGUUUAAUUUGAUGGUCCACGGAAAACCUUACCACAAUAUGAAUUGUAUGUACAUAUAUGUUACAUAUACAAGAAUUGCACGGCUGUUUUGAGUCAAUGUCGUGAGAAUUUGGUUAGAUCCAAGUAAUUGACGUAAGCCCUUAAUUUAUUUGUAAAUAAAUUAGUUCUCCAUAUACAUUGGAUAAGAUAACAGGGAUUAAGACAAGUCAUCAUGGUUCGAACAUUGUGGCUAUAGACGUGCCACGUAAGCUAUACAAAAAGAAGCAAAAUUGUGAAAUUUAGCUAAUCUUACUAAAAAUUGACAAUAUAA
rnacentral:rRNA from 1 species